UAAGAACUUAAAACUUAAAAGACUUGACGGUACUUCACACCAACCUAGAGGAGCCUGUCUAAUAACCGAUAACCCACGAUUCAACCCAACCUUUUCUAGCCUAACAGUCUAUAUACCGCCGUCGCCAGCUUACCUUGUGAAAGAAACUAAGUGAGCCAAAUAGUAUAAUACUAAUACGACAGGUCGAGGUGUAACUAAUGAAAAGGAUUAAGAUGGGCUACAUUUUCUAAUCUAGAAAAAACGAACAGACUAUGAAAACAGAAACUAAAGGCGGAUUUAGCAGUAAGUCAGGAAUAAAAUACCAAACUGAAAUAAACGCAAUGAAGUGCGC
rnacentral:rRNA from 1 species